GUCUAAAAAAUAAAAAUUGAAUCACACGAAGUAAAAAUUAUGUAAUACCUCAGCGUAGGUGAACGUUUAUUGUUUUAUCGUUAUACAUUUAAAUGCUAUGAUAAAUCAUCGAAAAGAUAAUUCUAAAGAAAUUGAUCUACUAGUUGUGUCCAUUAAAUGCAUGGACCUAAAAACGUUGCAAUUCAAAUACAAACAACAUUCCAGGUUUCGAGUCUACCAGGAAUUUGACAUUGAUUGAAGUGGACACGACUACCUAGUUAAAGAUGAUUCAUUGUGAAAAUACGGUAUUUUUGAAAUGGGUUUAUUGAGUGGAUCGUUUUACUGUGAUAUUUGUGCAUCAUAUCCACAAGACUAUCACCUAUAAUUCCAAAUGAAUAUCCGUAAAAUUGGUUUUUAAUCUUUAGACGAAAUGGACACUUAAAAUUGACACCGUCAAAAUAAAAUAUAAAGAGAAUAACAAAUAUAUAUAUUUUUAUGAGUGGCCGUCAUGUUACAUUUUGUCAAGCAAAUUAUUAUUAUGUUAAACAAUCGAUAUACGAAAUAAAAGAUAAAAAAAUACAUUACGAAUGUGAAAGGUGUAAUUUGCGAGCUUACUUUUUUUUUUAAGUUAGCGAAACCGUCUCGACGACCUGCCUAUUGGAAGAGUCAUUUACUUUCAUAUUUAUAAUGGGUAUUUUUCAUCUGAGACCAAACGUGAAGGAUAUUUCUUGAAAAUAUAGUUUUAA